ACGGCAGCAUAAUCUUCGGAUUGAUGGCGAGUGGCGGACGGGUGAGUAAUAUAUAGGAAUCUGCCUUGUAGUGGGGGAUAACUAUCCGAAAGGAUAGCUAAUACCGCAUAAUGAUUACGGUUUAAAGCAGGGGAUCUUCGGACCUUGCGCUACAAGUUGAGCCUAUACAAGAUUAGCUAGUUGGUGAGGUAAAGGCUCACCAAGGCGACGAUCUUUAGCUGGUCUGAGAGGAUGAUCAGCCACACUGGGACUGAGACACGGCCCAGACUCUUACGGGAGGCAGCAGUGGGGAAUAUUGGACAAUGGGCGCAAGCCUGAUCCAGCAAUACCGCGUGUGUGAAGAAGGCCUUCGGGUUGUAAAGCACUUUUGUUAGGGAGGAUGGUGAUUUUGGCGAAUACCCAAAGUCAUUGACGUUACCUAAAGAAUCAGCACCGGCUAACUCCGUGCCAGCAGCCGCGGUAAUACGGAGGGUGCAAGCGCUAAUCGGAUUUACUGGGCGUAAAGGGUGCGUAGGCGGUUACUUAAGUCAGAUGUGAAAUCCCCGGGCUCAACCUGGGAAUUGCAUUUGAUACUGGGUGACUUAGAAUGUGGUAGAGGGUAGCGGAAUUUCUGGUGUAGCGGUGAAAUGCGUAGAUAUCA
rnacentral:rRNA from 1 species